rfam:Morus notabilis contig22689, whole genome shotgun sequence.
CUGUUAGAGGAAUGAUGUACUAUUAUAGGGCCCUUAAGAUGCUUGCCUUUCUUGAUGAUGCGUCUGAGAUGGACGUAAGAG